GCACUGGUGCUUCACUGGUAGGAUCCUAGCCUUCCAUACUGGAGACCUGGGUUUGAUUCCCGACCAAUGCA
rnacentral:tRNA from 1 species